rnacentral:lncRNA from 1 species
CAUCUGUACAUGCCUGGCUGGAUACCAUGGAACUGAUGCUUUAACACCACCUGGAAACUCCAACCCAUGUACAGAUAUCGAUGAGUGUCUUGAGGACAUCUGUGGUGAUGGUGGAUCAUGUGCCAACAACGUAGGAAGCUACACAUGUACAUGCAAUACAGGCUUCCAUAUUGUACCCGAUGCAACUCCUGUUUGCCAAGAUGUUGAUGAGUGUUUAAACUCUAUCGUAUGUGGCCCUCAUUCUGACUGCAGCAACACAAUUGGAUCUCACAUCUGCAAUUGUCAACCUGGAUAUGAGCCAACAGAGCCGGACCAGCCCCCA